AACGAACGCUGGCGGCAGGCUUAACACAUGCAAGUCGAACGCGAAAUCACCUUCGGGUGGUGGAGAGUGGCAGACGGUGAGUAACGCGUGGGAAUCUACCUGAUGGUACGGAAUAACUCAGGGAAACUUGAGCUAAUACCGGAUGUGCCCGAGAGGGGAAAGAUUUAUCGCCAUCAGAUGAGCCCGCGUCGGAUUAGCUAGUUGGUGGGGUAAAAGCCCACCAAGGCGACGAUCCGUAGCUGGUCUGAGAGGAUGAUCAGCCACACUGGGACUGAGACACGGCCCAGACUCCUACGGGAGGCAGCAGUGGGGAAUAUUGGACAAUGGGCGCAAGCCUGAUCCAGCCAUGCCGCGUGAGUGAUGAAGGCCCUAGGGUUGUAAAGCUCUUUCGACGGGGACGAUAAUGACGGUACCCGUAGAAGAAGCCCCGGCUAACUUCGUGCCAGCAGCCGCGGUAAU
rnacentral:rRNA from 1 species